rnacentral:rRNA from 1 species
UCCGUAGGUGGAUAAUUAAGUCAGAGGUAAAAUCCUGCAGCUCAACUGUAGAAUUGCCUUUGAUACUGGUUAUCUUGAGUUAUUAUGAAGUAGUUAGAAUAUGUAGUGUAGCGGUGAAAUGCAUAGAUAUUACAUAGAAUACCAAUUGCGAAGGCAGAUUACUAAUAAUCAACUGACACUGAUGGACGAAAGCGUGGGGAGCGAACAGGAUUAGAUACCCUGGUAGUCC